GACGAACGCUGGCGGCGUGCUUAACACAUGCAAGUCGAACGGUGAAGCGCCUUCCUUUUUGGUGGGUGUGGAUGAGUGGCGAACGGGUGAGUAACACGUGAGUAACCUGCCCCCUUCUUCUGGAUAACCGCAUGAAAGUGUGGCUAAUACGGGAUAUUCUGGGUCUGUCGCAUGAUGGGUCUGGGAAAGAUAUUGUUUCGGUGGGGGAUGGGCUCGCGGCCUAUCAGCUUGUUGGUGGGGUGAUGGACUACCAAGGCGGUGACGGGUAGCCGGCCUGAGAGGGUGGACGGUCACACUGGGACUGAGACACGGCCCAGACUCCUACGGGAGGCAGCAGUGGGGAAUAUUGCACAAUGGGCGCAAGCCUGAUGCAGCGACGCCGCGUGAGGGAUGGAGGCCUUCGGGUUGUGAACCUCUUUCGCCAGUGAAGCAGGCCUGCCUCGUUUGUGGGUGGGUUGACGGUAGCUGGAUAAGAAGCGCCGGCUAACUACGUG
rnacentral:rRNA from 1 species